GGUCAAGUGAAGAAGCGCAUACGGUGGAUGCCUUGGCAGUCAGAGGCGAUGAAAGACGUGGUAGCCUGCGAAAAGCUUCGGGGAGUCGGCAAACAGACUUUGAUCCGGAGAUCUCUGAAUGGGGGAACCCACCUAGGAUAACCUAGGUAUCUUGUACUGAAUCCAUAGGUGCAAGAGGCGAACCAGGGGAACUGAAACAUCUAAGUACCCUGAGGAAAAGAAAUCAACCGAGAUUCCCUUAGUAGUGGCGAGCGAACGGGGAUUAGCCCUUAAGCUUCAUUGAUUUUAGCGGAACGCUCUGGAAAGUGCGGCCAUAGUGGGUGAUAGCCCCGUACGCGAAAGGAUCUUUGAAGUGAAAUCGAGUAGGACGGAGCACGAGAAACUUUGUCUGAACAUGGGGGGACCAUCCUCCAAGGCUAAAUACUACUGACUGACCGAUAGUGAACCAGUACCGUGAGGGAAAGGCGAAAAGAACCCCGGAGAGGGGAGUGAAAUAGAACCUGAAACCGUAUGCGUACAAGCAGUGGGAGCCUACUUGUUAGGUGACUGCGUACCUUUUGUAUAAUGGGUCAGCGACUUAUAUUCAGUGGCAAGCUUAACCGUAUAGGGUAGGCGUAGCGAAAGCGAGUCUUAAUAGGGCGUUUAGUCGCUGGGUAUAGACCCGAAACCGGGCGAUCUAUCCAUGAGCAGGUUGAAGGUUAGGUAACACUGACUGGAGGACCGAACCCACUCCCGUUGAAAAGGUAGGGGAUGACUUGUGGAUCGGAGUGAAAGGCUAAUCAAGCUCGGAGAUAGCUGGUUCUCCUCGAAAGCUAUUUAGGUAGCGCCUCAUGUAUCACUCUGGGGGGUAGAGCACUGUUUCGGCUAGGGGGUCAUCCCGACUUACCAAACCGAUGCAAACUCCGAAUACCCAGAAGUGCCGAGCAUGGGAGACACACGGCGGGUGCUAACGUCCGUCGUGAAAAGGGAAACAACCCAGACCGCCAGCUAAGGUCCCAAAGUUGUGGUUAAGUGGUAAACGAUGUGGGAAGGCUUAGACAGCUAGGAGGUUGGCUUAGAAGCAGCCACCCUUUAAAGAAAGCGUAAUAGCUCACUAGUCGAGUCGGCCUGCGCGGAAGAUGUAACGGGGCUCAAACCACACACCGAAGCUGCGGGUGUCACGCAAGUGACGCGGUAGAGGAGCGUUCUGUAAGCCUGUGAAGGUGAGUUGAGAAGCUUGCUGGAGGUAUCAGAAGUGCGAAUGCUGACAUGAGUAACGACAAUGGGUGUGAAAAACACCCACGCCGAAAGACCAAGGGUUCCUGCGCAACGUUAAUCGACGCAGGGUUAGUCGGUUCCUAAGGCGAGGCUGAAAAGCGUAGUCGAUGGGAAACAGGUUAAUAUUCCUGUACUUCUGGUUACUGCGAUGGAGGGACGGAGAAGGCUAGGCCAGCUUGGCGUUGGUUGUCCAAGUUUAAGGUGGUAGGCUGAAAUCUUAGGUAAAUCCGGGGUUUCAAGGCCGAGAGCUGAUGACGAGUCGUCUUUUAGAUGACGAAGUGGUUGAUGCCAUGCUUCCAAGAAAAGCUUCUAAGCUUCAGGUAACCAGGAACCGUACCCCAAACCGACACAGGUGGUCGGGUAGAGAAUACCAAGGCGCUUGAGAGAACUCGGGUGAAGGAACUAGGCAAAAUGGCACCGUAACUUCGGGAGAAGGUGCGCCGGCUAGGGUGAAGGAUUUACUCCGUAAGCCCUGGCUGGUCGAAGAUACCAGGCCGCUGCGACUGUUUAUUAAAAACACAGCACUCUGCAAACACGAAAGUGGACGUAUAGGGUGUGACGCCUGCCCGGUGCCGGAAGGUUAAUUGAUGGGGUUAGCGCAAGCGAAGCUCUUGAUCGAAGCCCCGGUAAACGGCGGCCGUAACUAUAACGGUCCUAAGGUAGCGAAAUUCCUUGUCGGGUAAGUUCCGACCUGCACGAAUGGCGUAACGAUGGCGGCGCUGUCUCCACCCGAGACUCAGUGAAAUUGAAAUCGCUGUGAAGAUGCAGUGUAUCCGCGGCUAGACGGAAAGACCCCGUGAACCUUUACUGUAGCUUUGCACUGGACUUUGAGCCUGCUUGUGUAGGAUAGGUGGGAGGCUUUGAAGCGUGGACGCCAGUUCGCGUGGAGCCAUCCUUGAAAUACCACCCUGGCAUGCUU
rnacentral:rRNA from 1 species